AACCGCCGUAUACCGAUCGGUACGUACGGUGGUGUGAGAGGACGGGCUAGCCGCCCUCUCCUACUCGAU
rnacentral:autocatalytically_spliced_intron from 1 species